rnacentral:misc_RNA from 1 species
UCUCCGUUGGUGAACCAGCGGAGGGAUCAUUACCGGGUGCAAACUCAUAACCCUUUGUGAACCUAUAUCUGUUGCUUCGGCGGCUCGCUCUCGGGCGAGCCCGCCGGUAAUAUCAGUAUCUCUGUUUGAACCCGACGAUACUUCUGAGUGUUCUUAGCGAACAGUUAAAACUUUUAACAACGGAUCUCUUGGCUCUA